rnacentral:rRNA from 1 species
UACGAAGGGUGCUAGCGUUGUUCGGAAUUACUGGGCGUAAAGGGCGCGUAGGCGGCUUUACAAGUCAGGGGUGAAAUCCCACGGCUCAACCGUGGAAUUGCCUUUGAAACUGUAAAGCUAGAGUGUCGGAGGGGAUAGCGGAAUUGCUAAUGUAGAGGUGAAAUUCGUAGAUAUUCGCAAGAACACCAGUGGCGAAGGCGGCUCACUGGCCCGAUACUGACGCUGAGGCACGAAAGCGUGGGGAGCAAACAGG